rnacentral:rRNA from 1 species
UACAGAGGUCUCAAGCGUUGUUCGGAUUCAUUGGGCGUAAAGGGUGCGUAGGUGGCGCGCUAAGUCAGGUGUGAAAUUUCGGAGCUUAACUCCGAAACUGCAUUCGAUACUGCCGUGCUUGAGGACUGGAGAGGAGACUGGAAUUUACGGUGUAGUGGUGAAAUGCGUAGAUAUCGUAAGGAAGACCAGUGGCGAAGGCGGGUCUCUGGACAGUUCCUGACGCUGAGGCACGAAGGCCAGGGGAGCAAACGGG